UUUGGAAGAGGCACAAAACUAGUGCUGAAAACUGGUCCCUCUGUCAGGCCCACAGUGUCUCUGCUCCCCCCAUCCUCUGAGCAGCUCUCUGGGGGCUCGGCUACUCUGGCCUGCCUGCUGAGUGGCUACUCCCCACAGGGGGCGAUGGUGAGCUGGGAGGUGGACGGAGCGGAGGUGAAGGAGGGGAUCCUGACCACCACAGAAGAAGAGAAGGGCGGCCGCUACAGCCGCAGCAGCACCCUGACCCUGAGCAAGGCACGCUGGGAAGAGGGGGAGGUGUACACCUGCAGGGUCGCCCAUGAUGACACCAGUGAUGCGGCCGCCUUCCGUAAAAGUCAGUGUAGCAUCUAGAGACAGGAGAAGCCAUUGUAGGGGGCAAGAGAGUCCCCACAUGGUGAUAGUUCUGGAAACAUUACUGUUUUACAGCUGAAUGUUACAGCAUAAUAGUGAAUAGUAUCAGUAGUGCUGUGUGCUAAAUGAACUAUUUUGAGACUCAGUUGUUCAUGUCUUCUUGCCUUUGAAUUAAAAUAAAGCUUGUUUUGAUUGAAAACUAA